AGGGAAUGUACUGCCAAGAUGACAGGGUUAAGCAUGAUGUCAUAGCUCUCUCUACGCUAGGUGGAUUUGACAACCCCUUAGUUAUAGCUAGAUGAGGACUUGAUAUUCACCAAGUAAUCUCCAACUUGUACCACUUAAAGCAAAAUCUAUCUUAAAUCACACUAAAGUUUAGCCUGGUUCACUUCUGUGGUAUUCCCAAUUAUAUGGCUGCUCACAAGCAAUUAGGGCUGGCUCACCUGCCUCGCUAACUAGAGCUCAAUGCGAAGCAUCUUGUUUUCUUAAGUUUUUCUUUUUUUUCAUAUUUACCAAGUACAAUCUCUGCCAGAGAAUAGAUCUCGCCUAUUUGUCAGAUAAUUUUGUAAGUUAAGUCUGCAGGCACUGUGUAAUUUUUUUUCAUAGUUUCAGUUACGGCACCCCCAGGCAUAAAAGGGUUAAACCGCUGUUUAGAGGAUAUUCCCUUCCAGAUAUACAGGCAGCUACUGUAGACACCAAGCCAACAAACUGGACAAG